rnacentral:rRNA from 1 species
GACGAACGCUGGCGGCGUGCUUAACACAUGCAAGUCGAACGGAAAGGCCCUGCUUUUGUGGGGUGCUCGAGUGGCGAACGGGUGAGUAACACGUGAGUAACCUGCCCUUGACUUUGGUAUAACUUCAGGAAACUGGGGCUAAUACCGGAUAGGAGCUCCUGCUGCAUGGUGGGGGUUGGAAAGUUUCGGCGGUUGGGGAUGGACUCGCGGCUUAUCAGCUUGUUGGUGGGGUAGUGGCUUACCAAGGCUUUGACGGGUAGCCGGCCUGAGAGGGUGACCGGCCACAAUGGGACUGAGAGAAGGCCCAGACUCCUAAGGGAGGCAGCAGGGGGGAAUAUUGCACAAUGGGCGGAAGCCGGAUGCAGCAACGCCGCGUGCGGGAUGACGGCCUUCGGGGUGUAAACCGCUUUCGGCUGUGACGAAGCGUGAGUGACGGUAAUGGGUAAAGAAGCAACGGCUAAAUACGUG